rnacentral:tRNA from 1 species
CUCCUCUUAGCUCAAUGGAUAGAGCGACAGGCUUCGAACCUGUGCGUAGGGAGUUCGAUUCUCUCAGGGGAGGC